AUUGGAUUUAUGAUGUGUCUUUAGUCUGCAUUAUCUUUUUGUAACUUCAAUGAAGGAAUUGAAGAUGACACUGAUCUACUGAGAUCUGGU